rfam:Schistosoma rodhaini strain Burundi genome assembly, scaffold: SROB_scaffold0015650
AUUCAGCUGACGAGUCCAAAAUAGGACGAAACGUACAUCCUGGAU